rnacentral:rRNA from 1 species
CCAGACUCCUACGGGAGGCAGCAGUGAGGAAUAUUGGUCAAUGGGCGCUAGCCUGAACCAGCCAAGUAGCGUGAAGGAUGACUGCCCUAUGGGUUGUAAACUUCUUUUAUAUGGGAAUAAAGUGCAGUAUGUAUACUGCUUUGCAUGUACCUUAUGAAUAAGGAUCGGCUAACUCCGUGCCAGCAGCCGCGGUAAUACGGAGGAUCCGAGCGUUAUCCGGAUUUAUUGGGUUUAAAGGGAGCGUAGGCGGGUUGUUAAGUCAGUUGUGAAAGUUUGCGGCUCAACCGUAAAAUUGCAGUUGAUACUGGCAUCCUUGAGUACAGUAGAGGUAGGCGGAAUUCGUGGUGUAGCGGUGAAAUGCUUAGAUAUCACGAAGAACUCCGAUUGCGAAGGCAGCCUGCUGGACUGUAACUGACGCUGAUGCUCGAAAGUGUGGGUAUCAAACAGGAUUAGAUACCCCUGUA